rnacentral:lncRNA from 1 species
AAAUUUUCAUGUUUGUAUAAGAGAGUUGUUGAGAGAAAAUAGCUUUAUUGUAUGAAAUAUAUGUUGUGAGAUUUAUGCAAAUUUGUUUAUUUGAGUGAAAAGUGAUAUUAUAUCACAACUUCUAGCCGUCAGUGGUAUCAAAACCAAGAAAGAAUAAAAAAAAAUAGCUAUGAAAUCUUCAUUUCCAGUUCGAUAUGGCUUCCUCAACUAGUUUUUUCCAACCACAACUACCAAAGCUGACAAAGGAGAAUUAUGAGAAUUGGAUCAUACAAAUGAAGGCGCCUUAGCAUCCCAAGACCCAUGGGAAAUGGUGGAGAAAAGUUAUACAAAACCUAAGUAUAAUGAAGACGUAUUAUGAGUAGCUGAAAAGGCAGCACUCAAGGAAGCAAGGAAGAAAGAUCAGAAUGCCCUGUAUCUAAUAUAUCAUUAGAUAAAUGGAAUUUUGAGAAGAUUACUUCUAUUACAAACGUAAGAGAAGCAUGGAAUGCACUUCAAAAUUCAUUUCAAGGUAUCGAAAAGACAUGAGAAGUCACCUACAAAUGCUGAAAAGCGAAUUUGAAACAUUGGAGAUGCUUGAUAGUGAGUCAAUCUCGGAGUAUUUUACUCGAGUCCUCACUAUAGUGAACAAUAUCAAGUGCAAUGGAGAAAAGAUCAAAGAUUUGCAGGUAAUAGAAAAAAUUCUUCAUUCUCUAAAUUCGAAGUUUAAUAAUGUAGUCAUAGCGAUUGAGGAAUCUAAAGACCUCAGUACUAUGACUAUUGAUGAACUAUUGGCUUCUCUAGAGACCCAUGAACAAUGGAUCAAUAAAAAAAAAUUUCAUCAAAAUCUCUUGAUCAAGCAUUGCAAUCAAAGCUUUCACUUCAAGAAAAUAAAGAAGAUAAAGGAAAUUCACAACCAAGUCGAGGAAGGGGCUGAUUUCAAAGAGGACAAGGUUUUAAUAAUAGAGAAAGAGGAAGAAGAUUUAAUAUCAAUGGUGGACAUGAAAUUCAACAACAAUUUUAUCAAAUAGGAAGAGGUCAAUACAGAGGUCGAGAUAGAGGACAAAAUAGAGGAAAAGAAAGACGCAAAGAUGGUUUUAAUCAUCAAAUGUGUGACAAAAGGAACGUGCAGUGUUAUAACUAUCACAAGUAUGGAGAUUAUAGCAAUGAAUGUCACGCAAAAAUUGCUUAAGUUGAAGUCGGAAAAAUACCAACUUUGGUGAUAUAAGUGAGCCAAAAUCACUAGUAUUGAUGGCUCAUCAUACAACAGCAGAUAAUGAAAAUAUAUGGUUUUUAGAUACAAGAGCAAGCAAUCAUAUGUGUGGGAAAAAGCAUGUGUUCGUGGAGCUUGAUGAAACUCCGCAUGGCUAUGUCUCUUUUGGCGACCUCUCCAAAGUUCCAGUAAAAGGAAAAUGUAACAUCUUAAUCAAGCUCAAUAAUGGUGGUUACAGUUAUAUUACUGAUGUUUAUUAUGUGCCGGAUAUUAAGCAUAAUUUAUUAAGUCUAGGACAGCUCCUAGAAAAGGGAUAUGACAUUAGUUUAAAAGACUCCCGCCUGAUACUCAAAGAUGAUCGUGG